rnacentral:misc_RNA from 1 species
AAUGAACUUCAUAUAAGUGAAAAAGCUCAAAACUAAGUGUAGCUUUGGUUUUACCAUUCAAAAGAAAGAAAAAAGAAGACAAAACAAAGCAAAUGUAGCUUUUAGCUUUUACCAUUCAGCAGCUUCUACAAGAAUUUGUCUAUGCUGGCAGUUAGACUUGUUUUGGGUACAGCACCAAUGAUAGCAUCUUUCUUCUCUCCGUUAACGAAGAUCAUUAUCGUUGGGAUGCUUCGGAUUCCAUAUCUAGAUGCUACAGAAGGGCUGUCAUCGGUAUUCAACUUGAAGCACUUCACCCUUCCUGUGUAUUGCUUUGCAAGAUCACUGAUUACUGGAUGGAACAUGCGACAUGGUCCACACCAGGGAGCCCAAAACUCAACCACCACAGGUUCAGUAGCGUUGAGAACAAGUGAAUCCCAU